GAACGAGAGCGACCGGUGCUUGCACUGGUCAAUCUAGUGGCGAACGGGUGAGUAACACGUGGGUAACCUGCCCAUCAGAGGGGGAUAACAUUCGGAAACGGAUGCUAAAACCGCAUAGGUCCUUUAACCGCAUGGUUGAAGGAGGAAAAGAGGCGCAAGCUUCUGCUGAUGGAUGGACCCGCGGUGCAUUAGCUAGUUGGUGAGGUAACGGCUCACCAAGGCCGUGAUGCAUAGCCGACCUGAGAGGGUGAUCGGCCACAUUGGGACUGAGACACGGCCCAAACUCCUACGGGAGGCAGCAGUAGGGAAUCUUCCGCAAUGGACGCAAGUCUGACGGAGCAACGCCGCGUGAGUGAAGAAGGUUUUCGGAUCGUAAAACUCUGUUGUUAGAGAAGAACAAGUGCUAGAGUAACUGUUAGCGCCUUGACGGUAUCUAACCAGAAAGCCACGGCUAACUACGUGCCAGCAGCCGCGGUAAUACGUAGGUGGCAAGCGUUGUCCGGAUUUAUUGGGCGUAAAGCGAGCGCAGGCGGUUCCUUAAGUCUGAUGUGAAAGCCCCCGGCUCAACCGGGGAGGGUCAUUGGAAACUGGGGAACUUGAGUGCAGAAGAGGAGAGUGGAAUUCCAUGUGUAGCGGUGAAAUGCGUAGAUAUAUGGAGGAACACCAGUGGCGAA
rnacentral:rRNA from 1 species